rnacentral:rRNA from 1 species
GACGAACGCUGGCGGCGUGCCUAAUACAUGCAAGUAGAACGCACAGUUUAUACCGUAGCUUGCUACACCAUAGACUGUGAGUUGCGAACGGGUGAGUAACGCGUAGGUAACCUGCCUGGUAGCGGGGGAUAACUAUUGGAAACGUUAGCUAAUACCGCAUAUUAUUGUUUAUUGCAUGAUAAUUAAUUGAAAGGUGCAAUUGCACCACUACCAGAUGGACCUGCGUUGUAUUAGCUAGUAGGUGAGGUAACGGCACAACUAGGCGACGAUACAUAGCCGAGCUGGGAAGGAGGUUGGCCAAACUGGGACUGGGACAAGGCCCAGACUCCUACGGGAGGGAGCCGGAGGGAAACUUUGGAAAUGGACGAAAGGCUGACCGAGCAACGCCGCGUGAGUGAAGAAGGUUUUCGGAUCGUAAAGGUCUGUUUUAAGAGAAGAAAGGGCGCGAGAGUGGAAAGUUCACACUGUGACGGUAUCUAACCAGAAAGGGACGGCUAACUACGUG